rnacentral:misc_RNA from 1 species
ACACCUCAACUCUCAUGGUCUUCCAUGAUGAGCUUGGACUUUGGGGGUUUGCUGGCCCUGCGGCCGGCUCCUCUCAAAUGAAUCAGCUUGCCAGUGUUUGGUGGCAUCACGGGUGUGAUAACUAUCUACGCCCGCGGUCGUCUGCCAGGUAACCCUCAGCGAUGAGGGUUCAUUGGAGCUCAUAAACGUCUCUCCUCGGCGAGGACAACUUUUGAAC